CAACUUCACAGCAUAACUCGCAAAAAGAGUUAGAGAAACUGUAUAGAUCGAACGGUUACCAUACACCAAGUAAAGAGUAAUGAUGCAAGUAUUAGAUUCAGUUUCCUAAACGAUACUAAAUUAACAAGUAGUUUAGUAUCCUUAAAAUAGACUGCCAAGCUUGACAGAUAACCAGGGCUGCCAUCAGAAAUUAAAGGCCUGUGCCCGUGGUGCCCACCCCAAGUCAGUCCAAAGGGCCUGCCACCGCCGUGUGUGUAGUGGAUGCCAUGUGUGUGAGUUUGUAUACUGGAUGCAGUGUGUAAAUAGUGUAUGCAUUGUGUGUGGGGUGGAUGCAGUAUGUGUUUGCAUAGUGUAUGCAGUGUGUAUAGUGGAGGAUGUAGUGUGUGUUUGUUUAAUGUAUGCUGUAUGUGGUGUGUGUUUGUAUACUAGAUGUGGUGUGUGGUAGAUGUAACACACAUCCCAUCUAGUGUGUGUGUGUGUGGG